UGGGACUGAAGCAGCCUGACUCCUGCCUGAAGAGGAUCCCUGCCAGCAGAGAUCAGCCCCUCUGCAGUGACGAAGGAGUCCAGAGUCAGCUCUGAACCUGAGGAUCAUUCAUAGAGUUUGAUAAUUGCUGACAAGUGUUGCUCCUGACGGAGGUGGUUUUAUGUGCGCUCAGCCCCUAAUCAAGCAGCCUUUUGUGCACCAGACCAGACUGUCAAUCAGUGAGCUGCAUGCCAUAUUUGUUGGAUAUCCUACUGGCACCCCACAAAUCGCUGUGGAUACCGGAGGAGCUGGAGACAAAGACCCCCUGCUGUGAAGGAGGAAGAGGGAGAUGCCGUGAAGUGAGGUGGGGUCGGGGGGCCAGCCAUGCCACAGGCUUCCAGAGUGCAAUCACUUCUCAUCUAUCAGUGGAGCUUUCAUUCUGGGGUCUCUGGGCUGGAGGGCUAGAGCGAGCUCGGCACAUAGAUCGAUGAACGUGGCCUUUUGCACCCAAAAGUUCUGCAGCCACUGCUCGUUGUCCCAAACUUGCAUUAUGACUUGUGCCCAUCAUCUGCAGCUGCUCCACAAAUGCCACCAUCAACCCUGAGUUGUUUUUCCACCAUAUCCCUUAAUCUGUCCUCAAAGAAAUUGUCACCUCCCCCAUUGUUGCAGUUCUUCCUGCAGCUAUGCAAAUACCAGAGGAUUAUGUGUACUGUAUUUACAACAUUUGUGAGACUAGUGCAGAAUUCUGAGGGCAUCAUGCUUCUGUCAGAGACGGCAGGCAGAGAGAAGUGCCACACGGGUUUGUGGGAUUUUUUUUAAAAAGGCAUGACAAUUAUGGAAUAUGGAUGGCAUUAUGGAAUGGAAAAAGUUACAUUCUGGGAACUUGACCCCUAGCUCCCAGAGAUCCCUGGACAACUCAUUUCUACCCCUAAGAAUCGCAAAAAGUUUCCAAAAGGCAUCGCGCCAGACAGUGGAGUAUGGCACACUGGGAUACCAACCGGUGGUGCACUGCACUUUGUAUUGACACAAGCAUUCCUGGUGAGUAUGCACAGCACCAAUGCAGACAGCCAAGCAAAAAACAAACUUUGACAGCUGGGUGCCAACAUAAUUUGCAUCAACACAAGUUUGUAGCAUAAAACUCAUUCAGUUUUUCAAAUGAACUUCACACUAGAACGUUUCCAGUCAGAGGGCAAAAAGCAUAUUCCAGAACUAGCCGACAUUAGUUGUACUUUAAUGUCACUUUCUCCACUUAAGCCUCAAAUACCUAUAUUGAAUGCUCUCUUGGGAGAGUAACAAGGACCAAAUAAUUCAAUGUGCCCCGAACUCAUGAGAGCAAGAUUUCCACUCCCAAGUGCUAUGCCAGCUGCGAAUGUUUAGAUUCGACACUAGAUAGCUAUUUUGAGUUCUUGUGGGAACAAAUUUUGAUCCAAAAAAACAUUAGAAGCCAUCACAAGAGACCAGUUGACAAAAGAUACACUUUUAAAGUUGGUUGGUGCAGAAUCUCUCUUAUUUAAGGCCUGGUCUACACAGAUUUUGCACUGGUAUAACUAUUUGUUAGUGGUAUGAGUAUAAAUAAAAAGUUACUAGUACAACCCCAGUGUGGAUGCAAUUAAACUGA